rnacentral:rRNA from 1 species
UACAGAGGGUGCAAGCGUUAAUCGGAGUUACUGGGCGUAAAGGGCGCGUAGGCGGUUAUACAUGUGGGAUGUGAAAGCCCCGGGCUUAACCUGGGAAGUGCAUCGCAAACUGUAUGACUGGAGUUCAGAAGAGGGUGGCGGAAUUUCCGGUGUAGCGGUGAAAUGCGUAGAGAUCGGAAGGAACGUCGAUGGCGAAGGCAGCCACCUGGUCUGAAACUGACGCUGAGGCGCGAAAGCGUGGGGAGCGAACAGG